AACGAACGCUGGCGGCAGGCUUAACACAUGCAAGUCGAACGCAUGCCUUCGGGCAUGAGUGGCAGACGGGUGAGUAACGCGUGGGAACCUACCCCUUGGUACGGGAUAGCUCCGGGAAACUGGAGAUAAUACCGUAUGUGUCCUGAGGGACAAAGAUUCAUCGCCAAGGGAUGGGCCCGUGUCGGAUUAGCUAGUUGGUGGGGUAACGGCCUACCAAGGCGACGAUCCGUAGCUGGUCUAAGAGGAUGAUCAGCCACAUUGGGACUGAGACACGGCCCAAACUCCUACGGGAGGCAGCAGUGGGGAAUAUUGGGCAAUGGGCGCAAGCCUGAUCCAGCCAUGCCGCGUGAGUGAUGAAGGCCCUAGGGUUGUAAAGCUCUUUCACCGGUGACGAUAAUGACGGUAACCGGAGAAGAAGCCCCGGCUAACUUCGUG
rnacentral:rRNA from 1 species